rnacentral:rRNA from 1 species
UGGGGAAUUUUGGACAAUGGGGGAAACCCUGAUCCAGCCAUCCCGCGUGUGCGAUGAAGGCCUCCGGGUUGUAAAGCACUUUUGGCAGGAAAGAAACGUCAUGGGUUAAUACCCCGUGAAACUGACGGUACCUGCAGAAUAAGCACCGGCUAACUACGUGCCAGCAGCCGCGGUAAUACGUAGGGUGCAAGCGUUAAUCGGAAUUACUGGGCGUAAAGCGUGCGCAGGCGGUUCGGAAAGAAAGAUGUGAAAUCCCAGAGCUCAACUUUGGAACUGCAUUUUUAACUACCGGGCUAGAGUGUGUCAGAGGGAGGUGGAAUUCCGCGUGUAGCAGUGAAAUGCGUGGAUAUGCGGAGGAACGCCGAUGGCGAAGGCAGCCUCCUGGGAUAACACUGACGCUCAUGCACGAAAGCGUGGGGAGCAAACAGG